GAGAGAUAUUCGGGAAUCGGAGUCGAGAAGGCCUCCGGUCUGGUCCGCCGCACCGUCCGGUCAGAGAGGCACCUCUCCUCCCAACCGUCAGCAGGCACAUGUUGCGACAGCGACGUAAUGGCGUUCCCUUCCCCGCCUCUACCACUGUCAUUUCUACUGCCGCCACCACCUCUUCUUCCCCUCCGCCUCCCCGUUUCUAUAUUCUUCUUCGACCGCAAGCUCCUGGUUCUUGGUCGGGGAGAUGUUCGGGACGUGGUUCUCUGGGUUUCCGAGACGCCGGAGGGUCCGCCUCCAGCGGAGUCUCGAGCCUGUCCUGCUCGUCUCCGGCAUGGGGGGGUCCAUCCUCAAUGCCAGGAGCAAGAAUAACGGCGGCGAGUCUAGGGUUUGGGUGAGGAUAAUCUUAGCCAACCUCGAAUUCAAGCGUAAGCUCUGGUCCCUCUAUAAUCCCAAAACGGGUUAUACGGAGUCGUUGGAUCCCAAUAUCGAAAUUGUCGUCCCAGAAGAUGACCAUGGGCUCUAUGCGAUUGACAUUUUAGACCCUGCAUGGUGGGUAAAGUUGGUACAUCUCACUGAUGUUUAUCAUUUCCAUUACCUCAUUGAUAUGCUUGUUGAGUGCGGAUAUGAGAAGGGGACCACGCUGUUUGGCUAUGGUUAUGACUUCAGACAAAGCAAUAGGACUGAAGAGGUCAUUCAUGGAUUGAAAGUGAAGCUGGAAACUGCCUACAAAGCUUCUGGGGGGAAGAAAGUCAAUAUAAUCUCCCAUUCAAUGGGUGGAUUGCUGGUCUUAUGUUUCAUAUCACUUCAUAAAGAUAUAUUUGAGAAGUAUGUCAAUAAGUGGAUCUGUAUUGCUUGCCCUUUUCAAGGUGCCCCAGGAUGCAUUAAUGAUUCACUUUUAACAGGACUUCAGUUCGUUUAUGGUUUUGAGAGCUUCUUGUUUGUUUCUAGAUGGGCGAUGCAUCAACUGUUGGUUGAAUGCCCAUCCGUGUAUGAGAUGCUACCAAAUCCAGAUUUCACGUGGAAAUGUGAACCUCUUAUUCAAGUUUGGAGAAAGCAAUCCGACUCCAAAGGUUCUUCUGUUGGAAAACUGGAGACAUUUAAUUCCUCAGACAGUGUUUCUCUGUUUGAAGAAGCAUUGCGUGACAAUGAGCUGACAUAUAAUGGAAAAUCAGUACCUCUUCCUUUCAAUUCUUCCAUUUUCAAAUGGUCAACUGAAACCCGCAGAAUACUCACCAAUGCUCAACUACCUGAGAGCGUGAGCUUUUACAAUAUAUUUGGCACGUCAUUUGAUACACCUUUUAACAUCUGCUAUGGAUCUGAGAGUUCUCCCCUUGAUGAUUAUUCAAAGAUAUGUCACUCCAUGCCAAACUACUCAUUUGUUGAUGGUGAUGGAACUGUUCCUGCUGAAUCAGCGAUGUUAAUGUUACCCUUUGAAAGGGAGGCCAGUUUCUACUUGGAAUUGAAGAAAGAAACUCCAAGUCAUACCUUCUAGGUGUUGGAUGUCAUAAUUUUGCCUAGUAAUUUUCCUAAAGAACUCAUAGGCUGAUGGUUUAGCAGCAAUUGCUCGCGUUGGAGUUCAAGCAUCUCAUAGGGGAUUGUUGAACAAUGAAAAGGUGUUUGAGUGCAUAAAACAGUGGCUAGGAGUUGGUCAAAUAACACAAUUAAGGAAGCCUAAAUAUGCAAGGAAUCUUAAAGUGGCCGAUGUUUCCUUAUUUUAAGCCCCAAAAGAUUGGGAUACAGGAAUGUUUGCAUAUGCACAUUAACAAGUAAAACACUGUCUUAUGAAGAUAACUUCAACCUUUUCAUCCUGAACUUUCAGCUGUCUCCAUGUCUCUUAAUUACGGUAGGAGUGGAGGCGCUGAUCUUAUCAUUCGGACAUGAUUCCACUCACUGGUUCUGUUGCAAACUUGUGACUUCACAUGCUUAGUCCUUUGAUUGUACUGAAGAUAUAUAUUUAUCAUGUAACUUGAUUACGAAGUCGAACAUUCAACAGAAAUAUAAAUAUCUUCGGGUGAUGAUCCGAUUGACAAUAAACUAGUGUAAGAACAUUCUCCUAUUCUCAUAUGUUAAAGAAAUCUAACAUGGAAAUUGAGAACUUAA